UUGGUACUGAUAAGCAUUCUGAAUUUGUGUUACUUGUAUGUUGCUUCAGUAUCUUGAUGACAAGUCACAAAUUAAAGAUGCAGUUAGGAUGGUCGAGAUUGAAUUGACAUCAGCCUGGACGCUUGAUGAUUUUAAGGUUGCAAUCGCCAAGUAUAUUAGCUCUCCACCAAUGUCAAAUACCAACUUAAAGUUUGUCUUUGAGGAGUUACUGGAAAGGGCCAGGAAGAAAGAAGAAAAAGAAGCUAAAAAG